rnacentral:lncRNA from 10 species
AUGUGGUUCAUGGCUCUUGCUGCAGAAAAUGACUGCAACUUUAUUUUCCCUGUGUUAAAAUCUGGGCAAACUGGGAGGUGAGUAGAAGUUUUCACCUAGGAGUCGUCUUGUUAUCCACUGAAACCUGAAGUUUCCAGGGGGAAAGUUGAAGACAUAUUGUAGGAAGGACGCUGUGUGCAGAUGAAGGCAGAGAUUGGGGAAUGCUUCUGCAAGCCAAGGAGAGCAAAGAUUGGCAGCAAAGCAACAGAAGCCAGUCACCCCUCGAUAUAUGCAGGGUAUUGGUUCCAGGAUCAACAGCAGACAUCAGAAGCAGCCCAUACUCAAGUCUCACAGUCAGCCCUGUGGAACCUAGCCGAGUAUGAAAAGCAGCCUUUUGUACACCUGUUUCUCCCAUCCCGAGAUCUGCAUUUGGUUGUGAAUGUGGAACCUGUGAAUACUUAGCACCAACUGUAUUUAUUGAAAACAUCAGCAUAUAGGUGGACCCGCCAAGUUUAAACCUAUGUUGUUCAAGGGUCAAUUGUAAAUGGAAUCAUACAGUGCAUUGGUUUUGUGACUGGCAUCUCUCACUUGGCAGGGCUUUUUCGUGGCUCAUCCACGUUAUAAAAUGUGUCAGAACUUCCUUCCUUUUUAGGGAUGAGAAUUACACAUACUACAUUUUGUUCUUCCAUUAGUCAGUGGGUAGACAUUGGGGUUGUUUACGCUUUUGGCUAUUGAGACUAAUGCUGCUGUAAACAUUCACAUAUAAAUUUUUGUGUGGACAUACGUUUUCAUUUCUCAUGGGUAUAUGCCUGAGAGGAGAAUUGUAAGUUCAUAUGUCAAAAAGUGUUAAACCAUUUGAAGAUUUUUCAGAGUGUUUUCCACAGUGACUGCAUCAUUUUACAUUCUCAUCACUAGUAUCUGAGGGCUGUGAUUACCACAUCUACUCACCAACACUUAUUAUUAUGUGAUUUUUUGAUUUUAGCUAUCCUAGUGGGUUUGAAAUAGUUUUCUUAUUGUGGUUUCAAUUUGCAUUUCCCUAAUGACUAAUGAUUUUGAACAUCUUUUCAUGUGCUUAUUGCUCUUUUGUAUGUCUUGUUUGAAGAAAUGCUUGUUCAUAUUCUUUGUCCAUUUUCAGUUGUGAUAUUUGUUUUUUAUGUUAUUAACUUAUAUUAGUUCUAUAUAAAUUCUAUGUACAAGUAUUAUAUCAGGUAUAUUAUUAGCAAUUACUUUCUCCCGUUCUGUGGGCCUUCUUUUCACUUCCUUUUUUCCUUAUUUAAAAGUAUUUCAUUCUCAAAUAAUGAUUGAAUCUAUUUAAGGUGUAUAACAUGAUGGUUUGAUAUAUGUAUAUAUUGUACGAUGCUUACCACAAUUAAAUUAUAUCACCACCCAUGCUGUACAGAGCCUCCCAGAACUUGCUGGUCUUAUAACUGAAAGUUUGUACCCUUUGACUAAUAUCUUCCCAUUUCUUCUACUCCCUGAACCCUGACAAUCACUAGUCUACUCUGCUUCCAAGAGGCCAACUUUUUAAGAUUCUACAUAUAAGUGAGAUCAUGUCGCGUUUGUCUUUUUUUGUCUGGGUUAUUUCACUUAGCUUAAUGUCCUUUAGGGUCAUACAUAUUGUUGCAAAUGGCAGCAUUUCCUUUUUUGUAGAUGAAUAAUAUUUCUUUGCAUAUAUGUACCACAAUUUCUUUAUCUAUUCAUCAAAUUAUGGACACAUAGAUUGUUUCCAUAUAUUGGUUAUUGUGAAUAAUGCUAUAAUGAACAUGGGGGUUACAACUAUCUCUUCAAGAUACUGAUUUCAUUUCCUUUAGAUAUAUACCCCAAAGUAGAAUUGAUAGAUCAUAUGGUAGUUCUAUUUUUAGUUUUAUGAGGAGUUCUGGACUGUUUUCCAUAAUGACUGCACCAAUUAACAUUCCCACCAAUAGUGUACAAAGGACAUCCUUUGUCCACAUGCUCACCAAAACAUUACCUCUUCUCUUUUUGAUAAUGAGAGGUGACAGCGUGCUGG